CUGGUGGCGAGUGGCGAACGGGUGAGUAAUACAUCGGAACGUGCCCUGUAGUGGGGGAUAACUAGUCGAAAGACUAGCUAAUACCGCAUACGACCUGAGGGUGAAAGUGGGGGACCGCAAGGCCUCAUGCUAUAGGAGCGGCCGAUGUCUGAUUAGCUAGUUGGUGGGGUAAAGGCCUACCAAGGCGACGAUCAGUAGCUGGUCUGAGAGGACGAUCAGCCACACUGGGACUGAGACACGGCCCAGACUCCUACGGGAGGCAGCAGUGGGGAAUUUUGGACAAUGGGGGCAACCCUGAUCCAGCAAUGCCGCGUGUGUGAAGAAGGCCUUCGGGUUGUAAAGCACUUUUGUCCGGGAAGAAAUCGCACCUGAUAAUACCGGGUGUGGAUGACGGUACCGGAAGAAUAAGGACCGGCUAACUACGUGCCAGCAGCCGCGGUAAUACGUAGGGUCCAAGCGUUAAUCGGAAUUACUGGGCGUAAAGCGUGCGCAGGCGGUUGUGCAAGACCGAUGUGAAAUCCCCGGGCUUAACCUGGGAAUUGCAUUGGUGACUGCACGGCUAGAGUGUGUCAGAGGGGGGUAGAAUUCCACGUGUAGCAGUGAAAUGCGUAGAGAUGUGGAGGAAUACCGAUGGCGAAGGCAGCCCCCUGGGAUAACACUGACGCUCAUGCACGAAAGCGUGGGGAGCAAACAGGAUUAGAUACCCUGGUAGUCCACGCCCUAAACGAUGUCAACUAGUUGUUGGGGAUUCAUUUCCUUAGUAACGUAGCUAACGCGUGAAGUUGACCGCCUGGGGAGUACGGUCGCAAGAUUAAAACUCAAAGGAAUUGACGGGGACCCGCACAAGCGGUGGAUGAUGUGGAUUAAUUCGAUGCAACGCGAAAAACCUUACCUACCCUU
rnacentral:rRNA from 1 species